CUAGAGAGUAUGUCUCAUAGGAACGUCAUAGGACGGCGCAAGAAGAAACAAGACGCAUUAUGGGUCCCAAAAGCUUAUAAGAAUAUAUGGUUCCUGAUCUCUCCUCCUCCUUUCUUUGGCCACUCUUCACCUGAUCUUUGGAAGACUGUGGAAUAUAAAUCCAGGGAAUACUGUAUAACUUUACACAGACUUAAUGCAAACCUCUGAACUGACUCAUCCUAAAAAGGGGUUCAUCCAUGAACAUCACUGAAUGAAUAAAUGUGUGGAAAAAAGAACAACUCUCGAAAAUUUAACAUCACUGCUUGCAGGAAUACAAGUUCAAAUGGUUCAAGAAUUCUGGUUUCCAGGACAUUACAAACAAAAUUACCAUUUUUUAACUUUGAUACAUGAUGCAAUUUAAUUGCUGGUGAAGAACAGGAAGUUAAACUUUGAUAAAUGUUCCCGCUAUGCAAAACCUUUCUUGAAAACAGCUCAUCUGAUAACAUCAAGGUACAAUAAAUUAUUCAACCAGAGAAGAACACAGAGUGAGACGAAAUCUCUAAAGGUGAUCAGCAUUAUACUGGGAUGACAAGAAGACACUGUUAUUUGUGGAAAUGAAUGCCAUACUAACUAGUUCAUGGGCUGAGCUGUUCAAUAGAAGCUCUUUCAAUGUCAUAAGACUUUCAGUUAAAAGAAAUGCAGGCAGGGAUUGAGGGAUGGGAGUUUAUAUUGCUCUUAUACAAACUUUAUAAUUGUGCUACCCCUGUUGAAAAAUGAAAAAGUGUCCCUGUUUUAAAACUAACAUUAAAGAGUGCUAUGUUUCCGAAAUUGGCAAAGUAGACACGUCCCACAUUUUCAGAGUUGUCUUCAUUCAAAGGAAAACUUUCCGUUCAUUAGAUAAUAGUUCACGUUCUGUAAGAUGCUAUAAACUUCUUCUUUAUCUGUGAUGUCAUUAACAAGCACCAGUUCACGGUCUGCGCCUUGGAAGCACCUGACAAUAAUAGAGGUCAGGCGACAAACUGCAAUGAAAGGGAUAAUUUCCUUUAUGUGGGUUAUCCCCUACAUUUUUAAAACCAGCACCUGGAUCUGAAUACUUUUGU